rnacentral:tRNA from 1 species
CGCCGCCGCCGGGUAUGGCACAGCCGCCCUGGGCCGGCGGCGACAGUCAGCCGCCGUGGGCGGGGUCGGAUCUUCCGCCGAUGGCGGCAG